ACUUUCUUAGUAUAUAAAGUAUAUUUGACUUCCAAUCAAAAGGACUAAACAUUUAGAGAAAGUA
rnacentral:tRNA from 1 species